UACGUAGGUGGCAAGCGUUGUCCGGAUUUAUUGGGUUUAAAGGGUGCGUAGGCGGCUAAGUAAGUCAGUGCUGAAAUAUCCCGGCUUAACCGGGAGGGUGGCAUUGAUACUGCAUAGCUUGAGUGUAGUCGAGGUAGGCGGAAUUGACGGUGUAGCGGUGAAAUGCUUAGAUAUCGUCAAGAACACCGAUAGUGUAGACAGCUUACUAGGCUACAACUGACGCUGAGGCACGAAAGUGUGGGGAUCAAACAGG
rnacentral:rRNA from 1 species